rnacentral:rRNA from 1 species
UUUGGUGGUUAUAGCCUGGGUGUUACACCUCUUCCCAUUCCGAACAGAGAAGUUAAGCCCC